rnacentral:rRNA from 1 species
GACGAACGCUGGCGGCGUGCCUAAUACAUGCAAGUCGAGCGGACUGAUUAAGAGCUUGCUCUUAUGACGUUAGCGGCGGACGGGUGAGUAACACGUGGGCAACCUGCCCUGUAGAUCGGGAUAACACCGAGAAAUCGGUGCUAAUACCGGGUAAUAUCUGAGAUCACAUGAUCUUAGGUUAAAAGAUGGCUCCGGCUAUCACUACAGGAUGGGCCCGCGGCACAUUAGCUAGUUGGUAAGGUAAUGGCUUACCAAGGCGACGAUGCGUAGCCGACCUGAGAGGGUGAUCGGCCACACUGGGACUGAGACACGGCCCAGACUCCUACGGGAGGCAGCAGUAGGGAAUCUUCCGCAAUGGACGAAAGUCUGACGGAGCAACGCCGCGUGAGUGAUGAAGGGUUUCGGCUCGUAAAGCUCUGUUGUUAGGGAAGAAACAGUACCGAACGAACUAGGUCGGUACCUUGACGGUACCUAACCAGAAAGCCACGGCUAACUACGUG